GCUAACAUAUGCUUGUGUUUAUGGGAAUUAUUUCAUUACAAUCCAAAUGUUGACCUCCAAAAAUGGCUCCAACAGGUUCCCUAGCCUUGUCCCCUCGAUACCUGCGCAUGUAGCACACCGUCAAGAGGCAAAGACGGCCGGACAAGAAAAAUGUCCGACGACCGUUUGCACUCCGACGGUCAAGUCAACGGCUGGACGGAAAUAAAUAUAUAGAGUGCAAUAAUAUGGAGAUGGGGGUUUGGCUAGGAAUGUAGAACAUACCUUGAUUGUGUGAGUUGAACCCAUAUAUAUAGAGAAAUGGAUGUGAAGCGGGCCAAACGGAUUAGUGGGCCUAAGUCUGAGCCUAAUACGAGGUGAGCAAAAUAAUAGGCGCCUCGACAGGCGAUUCGGCUAGACUUCUAGGGCCUCGGCUGCGCCUCGGUUGGCCUUCUCAGAGCCUCGGCUUUGGGGCCCAACACUAAUGGGCCUAGCUCGGGUCCAAUAAGAUGACCCAAUAUGGAGUGAUAAUUCAUAGGCGUAACAGUAGUCCCCCAAGUCCGAGUCGUGUUAUUUAUAUGCGGGUUGGACUUGAAAUAUAACUCUCAAGUAGGCGAGGUCUUACAGAUUGCCUCAGAAAGAUGUGUCAGAAUAAGCGAGGACUUACGAAUUGCCUCGAAAGAUAUACUGCGUAUACUUUUUCAAAAUUUCGACAUCUCCUCUGUAAUAUGGACUAAACCAAUCCUGUAAUACAAUACAAUAUAUCCACAGCACAUAUACCAAAUAAAUUUGGGGUCCAUUUGCCCCUUUAAAUGCUCAUAAGGUGUAACAUAUCGCAUUUCUCCAAGAUAUGUGCAGAAGGUCUGUCAUGCAUUAUAAUAAAUCAUAUGCUCGCACAGCUCAAUGUAUCAGUAGUGCUAUAGUGAAGCAAGUAAUAUGAUGUCGACAAUAAAAUGAAAAUGAUGAUAACAUGGCAUGCGUAUUGGCUAUAAUGAAAUUAAUAAAUUACGUGCUAGUAAUAAUAUGGUAUUCGUGCUUCGAAGCAACAAUAUAGUGCAUAUGAUAUGGCAAUGAUAUGUAGUGAUACUGAGAUACUAGUAUUGCAAUAGUCCCCCAAGUUUGAGUCUAAUAUUCAUUUAUGCAAUGCGUGGACUUCAGUAAAGCCAUUGGGUUGGGUAAAAAUUGAAAGUAGAGGUGGUUGAGAAACCGAACCUGCGAGGCUUGUGAAGGCUAAAUUGUGAUGAAGCCGAGUUGGUUGUGAAAUCGAACCUGCGAGGCUUGUGAAGGCUGAAUUGUGAUGAAGCCGAGGUGGUUGAGAAACCGAACCUGCGAGGCUUGUGAAGGCUGAAUUGUAAGGCUCAAGCUGCUGAGGCACCUACUAUCGAGGCACCUCCACCAUUGACUGGGCUUAGUUUAGUUCACAUUUCACUGUAAUCUAUCUUCAUCACAUGCUGUUUUUCUCCGAAGUGUGCUGGCCUCGUUAAGCAAUUGAACUUAAUGUUGAUUGAAGAACUAAACAACUUUAACUUGGUACCUUAACUCCAAUCACUUAAAACAACUGAAUUGUAUGCAACUUUCUUGAGUUAUGACCAACAUUACUUAAGUAAAUGAACAACAGUGUGAGCCUCAAACUUAAGCAAAUGAACUUUACUUAAGCAUAAUAACUGUAACCUGAAGGGAUUCAAUGAAUGCUGUUGCAGUCGAACUUAAGCAUAAUAAUUGUAUGAGCCUCGGAAUUCACGUGAAGUGGCUUCUCCCAUUGGCGUUCAGCCUCGCCAGAAGGAGGCAUGUGCUAGCACCUCGGAGUUCAAGCGAGGUGGCCCAGAGAUGGGACGCGAGCCUCUCCUCCGAGGUGACGACGCAUCCCAGACAUGGUGAAUGGUGCAGCCAUGUUGGGGCUUCUCCCCUUGGCGCUCAGCCUGGCCAGAGGGAGGCAUGUGCUAGCGCCUCGGAGUUCAAGCGAGGUGGCCCAGAGACUGGACGCGAGCCUCUCCUCCGAGGUGACGACGCAUCCCAAACAUGGUGGAUGGUGCAGCCAUGUUGAGGUAAUAUUAGCUCUCCGAAGAUAAGUAGAUGUAACAUGGCUGAGGCAGAGGCAAAAUUCUGAACUGAACAGCUGUACUGAUAACGAAGCAGAGGCUGACUCUGAACUGAACAUAAUAGAUGUACUGAUACGAUGCAGAGGCAGACUGAACUGAACGUAGAUAGUUGUUAUGUAGAGGCGUGAUGACCUUUCUGAACAUAAGCGGGGCUAUAAUGCAGUAAUUCGUACAACAAGGCUUCUCAUGAAGUGGUGAACAAAUAUCUAGCUGGUGACCCGUGAUAGUGAAGGGUGAGGGAUAAUCAUCUCACGAAGUUAGGAAUAAGCAUCUGGCGAAGCGGGGAAUGGACAUCCCGCGAAUCACUCUCAAACUAUCGGAGUCUUAUAAGCAGCCUCGGACAAACGAGGUCUUAUAACUAAGCUCAACGAUAGUGAAAUGUGAGGAAUAAACAUCUCGCGAAGCCAGGGAUGAACAUCUGGUGAACUGUCGAACUAUCGGAGUCUUAUAAGCUGGCCUCGGAUAGACGAGGGCUUAAAGCUAAGCUCGGCGAUAGUGAAACGCGAGGAAAAGACAUCUCGCGAAGCCAGGGAUGAACAUCUGGCGAACUAUUAGAGUCUUAUAAGCUGGCCUCGAAUAGACGAGGACUUAGAGCUAAGCUCGGCGAUAGUGAGGCGGGGAAUAAGCAUCCCGCGAAGCCAGGGAUAAACAUCUGGCGAGGCGAGGAAUAAGCAACCCGCAAAUGAGGCCAAGAAAGGCUCCUUUUGCAAGGGCAAACACGUCUGACGAUUUGCCUCUUCCUUUUUUCAAGGAACGAGGACUCCAAAAUAUACCACCUAUUCCUUUAUUCAAGGAGCGAGGUACUCUAAGAUAUGUUGCCUUUGAUAAUAAGAUAUUCACAAGCUAAGGCUCGUCUUAAAUAAAUAAGAAAACCACAAGUUCGGCUCGACUUGUCUCCAAUGAUAAGGAAUUCAUGAGCUAGGGCUCGUCUUGAGCAAUUGCGAUGAUGUUUCAAAGAUGCGAGGUCUUAGAACUUGCCUCGAGUAAUAGAGAUGAUAGUCAAAUGUGCCUUAAAUAAGAGAAAUCCCAUGUCGAUAUAUUUUUGAACACUUGGUGUGCUUAUGACCUUUGUAUAAGUUGUUGUUGAUGUUUAUUUGUAGCCUCCAAGUUAUUUGAAACAAUUGUGGCAACUCAGGUAGAAGGAAAAGAAUCCAGAAGAUGUGCCGAACUUGAAGAAAAUAACUCACCAAAUAUUGUCCCAUG
rnacentral:lncRNA from 1 species